rnacentral:misc_RNA from 1 species
UGGCCUUGACAUCCCCGGAACCUUGCAGAGAUGCGAGGGUGCCUUCGGGAACCGGGUGACAGGUGCUGCAUGGCUGUCGUCAGCUCGUGUCGUGAGAUGUUGGGUUGAGUCCCGCAACGAGCGCAACCCUUGCCCCUAGUUACCAGCGGCUCGGCCGGGAACUCUAGGGGGACCGCCGGUGACAAACCGGAGGAAGGUGGGGAUGACGUGGUCGGAUUCUAAG